CUAAUACAUGCAAGUCGAGCGCGGAAGCCGGGACAGAUCCCUUCGGGGUGGCGACCGGUGCGAACGAGCGGCGGAUGGGUGAGUAACACGUGGGCAACCUGCCUGUAAGCCUGGGAUAACUCGCGGAAACGCGAGCUAAUACCGGAUGCGCCUUUUGUUCGCAUGAACGAAAGGUAAAAGGCGGCUUUUGCUGUCACUUACAGAUGGGCCCGCGGCGCAUUAGCUAGUUGGUGAGGUAACGGCUCACCAAAGCGACGAUGCGUAGCCGACCUGAGAGGGUGAUCGGCCACACUGGGACUGAGACACGGCCCAGACUCCUACGGGAGGCAGCAGUAGGGAAUCUUCCGCAAUGGACGCAAGUCUGACGGAGCAACGCCGCGUGAACGAUGAAGGCCUUCGGGUCGUAAAGUUCUGUUGUUAGGGAAGAACAAGUAUUGUUCGAAUAGGGCAGUACCUUGACGGUACCUAACCAGAAAGCCACGGCUAACUACGUGCCAGCAGCCGCGGUAAUACGUAGGUGGCAAGCGUUGUCCGGAAUUAUUGGGCGUAAAGCGCGCGCAGGCGGUCUUUUAAGUCUGAUGUGAAAGCCCCCGGCUCAACCGGGGAGGGUCAUUGGAAACUGGAAGACUUGAGUGCAGAAGAGGAGAGCGGAAUUCCACGUGUAGCGGUGAAAUGCGUAGAGAUGUGGAGGAACACCAGUGGCGAAGGCGG
rnacentral:rRNA from 1 species